rnacentral:rRNA from 1 species
AACGAACGCUGGCGGCAUGCCUAACACACGCAAGUCGAACGAGACCUUCGGGUCUAGUGGCGCACGGGUGCGUAACGCGUGGGAACCUGCCCUUAGGUUCGGAAUAACUCCCCGAAAGGGGUGCUAAUACCGGAUAAUGUCUUCGGACCAAAGAUUUAUCGCCUUUGGAUGGGCCCGCGUUGGAUUAGCUAGUUGGUAGGGUAAAAGCCUACCAAGGCGACGAUCCAUAGCUGGUCUGAGAGGAUGAUCAGCCACACUGGGACUGAGACACGGCCCAGACUCCUACGGGAGGCAGCAGUGGGGAAUAUUGGACAAUGGGCGAAAGCCUGAUCCAGCAAUGCCGCGUGAGUGAUGAAGGCCUUAGGGUUGUAAAGCUCUUUUAACCGGGAUGAUAAUGACAGUACCGGGAGAAUAAGCUCCGGCUAACUCCGUG